rnacentral:rRNA from 1 species
GAUGAACGCUGGCGGCGUGCCUAAUACAUGCAAGUCGAACGCACGGACGAGGAGCUUGCUUCGCUGAUGUGAGCGGCGGACGGGUGAGUAACACGUGUAUAACCUACCUAUAAUACUGGUAUGACUUCGGGAAACCGGAUCUAAUAGCGUAUAAUCUUUUGAACGGCAUGGUGCAAAAGUGAAAGGCGGUCUUGCUGUCACUUAUAGAUGGAUCCUCGCUGCAUUAGCUAGUUGGUAAGGUAACGGCUUACCAAGGCACCAAUGCAUAGCCGACCUGAGAGGGUGAGCGGCGACCCGGGAACUGAGAGACGGUCCAGCCUCCUACGGGAGGCCGCGGUGGGGAAGUUUGGGAAAUGGGCGAAAGCCUGACGGAGCAAUGCCGCGUGAGUGAUGAAGGUAUUCGGAUCGUAGAACUGUGUUCUUAGGGCGGCCAAUAUGUGUAAGUAACUGUGGACGUCUUGACGGUACCUAAUAAGAAAGCGACGGCUAACUACGUG